rnacentral:rRNA from 1 species
UGUGUAGGCGGUUGCUUAAGUUUGGUGUGAAAUCUCCCGGCUCAACUGGGAGGGUGCGCCGAAUACUGAGUGACUCGAGUGCGGGAGAGGAAAGUGGAAUUCCUGGUGUAGCGGUGAAAUGCGUAGAUAUCAGGAGGAACACCGGUGGUGUAGGCGGCUUUCUGGACCGUAACUGACGCUGAGACACGAAAGCGUGGGUAGCAAACAGGAUUAGAUACCCUGGUAGUCCACGCCCUAAACGAUGCACAUUUGGUGUGGGUCAUUCAGUUGAUCUGUGCCGGAGCUAACGCGUUAAAUGUGCCGCCUGGGGAGUACAGUCGCAAGGCUGAA